rnacentral:rRNA from 1 species
CGUAGGUGGCGAGCGUUGUCCGGAUUUACUGGGCGUAAAGGGAGCGUAGGCGGUCUUUUAAGUGGGGUGUGAAAUCCCUGGGCUUAACCCAGGAAUUGCAUUCCAUACUGGGAGACUAGAGUGCAGGAGAGGAAAGUGGAAUUCCAAGUGUAGCGGUGAAAUGCGUAGAGAUUUGGAGGAACACCAGUGGCGAAGGCGACUUUCUGGACUGUAACUGACGCUGAGGCUCGAGAGCGUGGGGAGCAAACAGGAUUAGAUACCCUGGUAGUCCACGCUGUAAACGAUGAAUACUAGGUGUAGGGGGCGAAGCCCUCUGUGCCGCAGUUAACACAUUAAGUAUUCCGCCUGGGGAGUACGAUCGCAAGAUUA